GCCUACGACCAUCUCACCCUGAAUGCGCCCGAUCUCGUCUGAUCUCAGAAGCUAAGCAGAGUCGAGCCUGGUUAGUACUUGGAUGGAAGACUGCCUGCGAAUACCAGGUGUUGUAGGCU
rnacentral:rRNA from 1 species